rnacentral:rRNA from 1 species
UACGGGGGGGGCAAGCGUUGUUCGGAAUUACUGGGCGUAAAGGGCUCGUAGGUGGCCAACUAAGUCAGACGUGAAAUCCCCAGGCUUAACCUGGGAACUGCGUCUGAUACUGGAUGGCUUGAAUUCGGGAGAGGGAUGCAGAAUUCCAGGUGUAGCGGUGAAAUGCGUAGAUAUCUGGAGGAAUACCGGUGGCGAAGGCGGGUUGCUGGGCCGACACUGACGCUGAUGCGCGAAAGCUAGGGGAGCGAACGGG